rnacentral:rRNA from 1 species
AUUGAACGCUGGCGGCAUGCCUUACAUAUGCAAGUCGAACGGCAGCACGGGGCAACCUGGUGGCGAGUGGCGAACGGGUGAGUAAUGCAUCGGAACGUACCUUUCAGUGGGGGAUAACGUAGCGAAAGUUACGCUAAUACCGCAUAUUCUGUGAGCAGGAAAGCAGGGGAUCGCAAGACCUUGCGCUGUUUGAGCGGCCGAUGUCAGAUUAGCUAGUUGGUGAGGUAAAGGCUCACCAAGGCGACGAUCUGGAGCGGGUCUGAGAGGAUGAUCCGCCACACUGGAACUGAGACACGGUCCAGACUCCUACGGGAGGCAGCAGUGGGGAAUUUUGGACAAUGGGGGCAACCCUGAUCCAGCCAUGCCGCGUGAGUGAAGAAGGCCUUCGGGUUGUAAAGCUCUUUCGGCCGGGAAGAAAUCGCACGGGCUAAUACCCUGUGUGGAUGACGGUACCGGAAUAAGAAGCACCGGCUAACUACGUGCCAGCCGCCGCAGUAACAC